UACGGGGGGGGGCAAGCGUUUGUUCGGAAUUACUGGGCGUAAAGGGCUCGUAGGUGGCCAACUAAGUCAGACGUGAAAUCCCUCGGCUUAACCGGGGAACUGCGUCUGAUACUGGAUGGCUUGAGUUCGGGAGAGGGAUGCGGAAUUCCAGGUGUAGCGGUGAAAUGCGUAGAUAUCUGGAGGAACACCGGUGGCGAAGGCGGCAUCC
rnacentral:rRNA from 1 species